GGCGCGGCGCGGCGCGGCGCGGCGCAUGCAACCGUCUGUGCAGAUGCAUUCGCGCGCUGCUGCAAGUGGGCUGCCCGUCAGGCCGCCACGGAACGGGAGCGAAAAGGGCCGCCGCUCCGCAUCCACGGCGUUCCGGACGAGAAGUUACGGCGGGGAACGAUAUCGGAGCGAACGUGGAUGAAGUGUCACGAGAGUAGGAAGAUCGAAGGCCUCCCGAUCGGACGGGACCUUACGAGUGGAAGCACCAGGAACGGAUAUUAAGGUCUCACAGAAACAGGUUCACGAUCCGGUCGAUGAAAUUGGAAUCCCAACGGAAAUCCACACGGAUAAACUCAGAUGACAGGUUAUGCAGAGUCACAGAUUGUCCCACAAAAGAUCCGUCAACACGUCAUGAUACAUUACAUUACAUGAUUGCGCGUUAUGGAGAAAGAGACCGUGAAACUUUCAAAUCGACCGAUGCAAAACUGACGAAUCACCACACAACUGCUACAACGUACCGCGAUAAGAGUUUAAUUAAGA